rnacentral:rRNA from 1 species
UCUGGUUGAUUUCUGCCAGUGGGCGUACGCUUUUUUUCGAAGAUUAAGCCAUGCAUAUGCUAGUUCAUACAUAAAAAUGUGAGACUGUGGAAGGCUCAGUAUAUCAGUUAUAAUCUGCUCGAUUGUAAAGGUUAUUGGAUAACCGUGGGAAAUCUAGAGCUAAUACAUGUACAUGGUAGUGUUUUGCACUACAGAGCAUUUAUUGCAUCUCCAACCGCGUCACAGUUCACGUUGACUGUGACGUGAGGCGAAUCUAGAUAACUGCGCAGAUCGUAUGGCCUUGAGCUGACGACAUUUCGAUUGAAUUUCUGCCCUAUCAACUUAUGUCGGCAGUUUAGUGGACUGCCGAGGUUAUUACGGGUGACGGGGGAUCAGGGUUCGAUUCCGGAGAGGGAGCCUGAGAAAUGGCUACCACAUCCAAGGAUGGCAGCAGGCGCGCAAAUUACCCAAUCCAGACAAUGGGAGGUGGUGAAGAAAAGUACCGAAUGACUGUCGAAAGGCGGUCAAUUUGGAAUGGAAACAAUUUAAGAAAUUGAUUUGAGUAACAACUGGAGGGCAAGUCUGGUGCCAGCAGCCGCGGUAAUUCCAGCUCCAGUAGCGUAUCUCAAAGUUGCUGCGCUUAAAACGCUCGUAGUUGGAUCAUUGCGCAUACAUGAGUUGCUAUAAUGCUACCAGUUGUGUAGGUUUGUCUGUUGCAUGUUCUCAUGUAGUCAGCACAGAGUAUGCAGGGUAGGUUGUAGCAGUAAGCUGAUGUGUGCAAAUUGCAUGUGAGGAUUCGAAUUGACCUUGAGUGAGUUGAUUAUGAUGUCUCACAGAGUGUGCCUUGAGUAAAUCAGAGUGCUUAAAGCAAGUAUUGCUUGAAUGUUGAUAGCAUGGAACGAACGAUCGUGUAUGGUGUGUAAUGAUAAAAGUGUGUGAUAUGAUGUCGCAUGUGGAAUUAUUGCACGACACCGACCACCAGUUACGGAUGUUGGUUCCGUAUUGGGGUAGUGAUUAAGAGGAGCGGUUGGGGGCAUUGGUAUUUGGCAGCGAGAGGUGAAAUUCUUGGACCUACCAAGGACCAACAAAUGCGAAGGCAUCUGUCAAGACCGUAUCCAUUAAUCAAGAACGAAAGUGAGAGGUUCGAAGACGAUCAGAUACCGUCCUAGUUCUCACUGUAAACGAUGCCGACCCGGGAUCAGCUUGGAGCAAUUUCCACGCUUGAGGUUGGUCCCCCUGGGAAACCUAAAGUUUUUCGGUUGCGGGGGGAGUAUGGUCGCAAGGCUGAAACUUAAAGGAAUUGACGGAAGGGCACCACCAGGGGUGGAGCCUGCGGCUUAAUUUGACUCAACACGGGAAAACUUACCUGGUCCGGACAUCAAAAGGAUAAACAGACUGAAAGAUCUUAACUAAAUUUUGAUAUGAUGAUUGGUGGUGCAUGGCCGUUCUUAGUUCGUGGAGUGAUCUGUCAGGCCGAUUCCGGUAACGAACGAGAGCACAGUCUCCAUUUGAAGCGUCAAAGAAGGUGUGUUUUGCAGGUAGUUGUCGUGAGAUGACUUUUGCAUCGACAUGCCCAUGGCAGUGAGUUGUAAGAGUUGGAAACAUUGCUGCUGUGGCGACACGGUGGUGGUGUUGAAGAUGAUGAAUGAUUUGCUCCCUUUGGUGUGACAAUGUGCUGAUUGCGAGAUCAGUAUGUUGUGUCAUGGAGAGACAGCGGAAUAUAUUCCAAAAUCCGAGGAAGUGUGGCUAUAACAGGUCUGUGAUGCCCUUAGAUGUUCGGGGCUGCACGCGCGCUACAAUGGUGGUGACAACGAGUUUCUGGAUCGAAAGAUCUGGGUAAUCUUGCAAUCACCGCCGUGAUGGGGAUCGACGUUUGUAAUUACGUCGUGAAAGAGGAAUCCCUAGUACGUGCGAUUCAUUAGAUCGCGCGGAUUUCGUCCCUGCCCUUUGUACACACCGCCCGUCGCUACUACCGAGUGAACGGUACCAUAAUACCUUGUGAGCGGACGUCUAUACUAGGUUAACGCCUGGGAUGUCGCUGCAAUCAGCGUAAAUGGUGCAAUUUCAGGAAGUAAAGUCGUAACAGUU